CCUACGGGAGGCAGCAGUGGGGGAUAUUGCACAAUGGGGGGAACCCUGAUGCAGCGACGCCGCGUGGGUGAAGAAGCGCCUCGGCGCGUAAAGCCCUGUCAGCAGGGAAGAAAAUGACGGUACCUGAAGAAAAAGCCCCGGCUAACUACGUGCCAGCAGCCGCGGUAAUACGUCGGGGGCCAGCGUUAUUAGGCUUUACGGGGUGUAAAGGGGGCGUAGUCGGCGAUGCAAGGCAGGAGUGAAAGCCCGGGGGCCAACCCCGGGACUGCCCUUGGAACUGCGUGGCUGGAGUGCAGGAGGGGCAGGCGGAAUUCCUGGUGUAGCGGUGAAAUGCGUAGAUAUCAGGAGGAACACCGGUGGCGAAGGCAGCCUUCUGGACUGCAACUGACGUUGAGGCCCGAAAGUGUGGGGAGCAAACAGGAUUAGAUACCCGAGUAGUC
rnacentral:rRNA from 1 species